CACCGUCUCAGGGUUCUUGCCCUUCCCUGGAACAGUCUGUCAGGUUACAUCCCUGCCACUGUCGGGAACCUCACGAGGCUCGAGAGCCUUGUUCUUCUGGAGAACAGUCUGUCAGGGCUGAUCCCACAUGAGCUGAAAGACCUGCAAAAUCUUAGGCGCUUAGACCUCCAGAAGAAUCACCUGAGUGGCAAAAUACCAGAAGUAUUCAACAACACACCUUACCUGAGCUAUCUGAACCUUGGCAACAACAGCCUAUGGGGACCUAUACCUGUUGGUAUUGGAUCCUUGCCCAUGCUUCAAAUCCUUGUCUUGCAAGAUAAUCACCUCACCGGCGUGGUGCCUCCUGACACCUUCAAUAAUUCCGCCCUGCAAGUUCUGAGCCUCGUGAGUAACAACAAUCUGACAGGGACUAUCCCUGGCAAUGGAAGCUUCAGUCUUCCAAUGCUGCAGUUUUUAUCCCUCUCUUGGAACAACUUUGUGGGUAGGAUUCCUGUGGGGCUCAGCGCGUGUCAGUUCCUGCAAAUAAUCUCUUUGUCAGAAAAUGCUUUUACAGAUGUUGUGCCAACAUGGUUGGACAAAUUAUCAAACCUCAGGUCCCUUUCCUUAGGCGGAAAUAACCUUUUUGGGUCGAUCCCGAUUCAGUUAGUCAAUACCACUGGGCUUCAGGAACUUGAUCUCUCAAACAACAAGUUGGAAGGGCAGAUCCUACCAGAAUUUGGGAAGAUGAAACAACUCAUGUAUCUGGCACUUUCGGAUAAUGAAUUGACAGGUCUAGUUCCUGCUUCCAUUGGUAACCUGUCUGACCUGUCUUUCCUAAUGUUGGAUACAAAUAUGUUGACUGGAUCGAUCCCACCCGCAUUUGGGAAUCUUGGCUCUUUACAACGCCUUAGUUUUGGAUCGAACCACUUUGAGGGUGGCCUUGAAUUUUUGGGUGCUCUUUCUAAUUGCAGACAGCUCAGUUACCUCAGCAUGGAGUCCAAUUCUUACUCUGGGGUUCUCCCAGAUUAUAUUGGAAACCUCUCCAAGCUACUAGUGACUUUCCUAGCAGGUGAGAACAAUUUAAUUGGCGGACUUCCUGCAAGUGUAUCAAAUUUAACUAGCCUGCAAAUCAUAUAUCUCUCAGGCAACAAAUUGAACAAGUCGAUCCCAGAAUCCGUUAUGAAACUGGAGAAUCUCCAGGCACUUGCUCUCGCUAAUAAUAUCAUGUCUGGUCCCAUCCCAACCCAAAUUGGUAUGCUUAGAAGCCUUCAACAAUUGAGUCUUGACAACAACAACUUCUCUGGCUCCAUACCUGAUGGCCUUGGUAAUCUUAGUAUGUUAGAAUAUAUUUCUCUCCCAUAUAACAAGUUUUCUUCAUCCAUACCACCGACGUUAUUUCAUCUUGACAACCUUAUUGGACUCAAUUUGUCAAACAACCUCUUGAUUGGUACACUCACACCUGAUAUAGGAAGCAUGAAUGCAAUUAUUAACAUAAUAGACCUCUCUAGCAACCAGCUAUUUGGUGAUCUUCCAGAAUCAUUCGGACAACUGCAGAUGCUGACCUACCUCAAUUUAUCACAUAACUCGUUUCAGGAUUCGAUCCCAAAUUCUUUUGGCAAGUUAGCGAGCUUGGAAAUACUGGAUCUUUCCUACAAUAACCUCUCUGGAAACAUCCCAAUGUACCUGGCCAAUCUUACAUACCUCACCAAUUUGAACCUCUCCUUUAAUAAGCUACAAGGACGUAUACCAGAAGGAGGUAUUUUCUCAAACAUCAGUUUACAGUCCUUGCUAGGGAAUGAUGCACUUUGUGGUUCUCCACGUCUAGGGUUUUCGCCAUGUAUGGUCAGAUCUCACUCGAGAAAUGGAAAGAUACUAAAAUUUGUACUCCCUGCUGCUCUUGCAGCAUUUGGAGCAAUAGUUAUUUGCUUAUAUGUAACAAUCAGAAGAAAAAAUAAAAACCCAGGAGCGUUGACAGGAUCCAAUAAUAUUACUGAUGCAGUCAGACACAGAUUAAUAUCUUAUCAUGAGAUUGUUCAUGCCACUAACAAUUUCAGUGAGGAAAAUUUGUUGGGAGUAGGAUGUUUUGGCAAAGUUUUCAAGGGACAGCUAAACAAUGGCUUGGUGGUUGCCAUCAAAGUUCUAAACGUACAGUUGGAAGCAGCUACAAAGAGCUUUGAUGCUGAGUGCCGAGUGCUGCGCAUGGUUCGGCAUCGCAACUUGAUAAGGAUAAUCAACACUUGUUCUAACCUAGAUUUUAAAGCAUUGUUACUUGAGUACAUGCCUAAUGGUAGCUUGGAUGCACAUCUGCACAAUGAAGACAAGCCACCCUUAAGAUUCCUCAAGAGAUUGGACAUCAUGAUAGAGGUGUCGAUGGCAGUAGAAUAUCUGCAUCAUCAAUAUCAUGAGGUAAUCUUGCACUGUGACUUGAAGCCUAGCAAUGUGUUAUUUGAUGACGAUAUGACGGUACACGUGGCAGAUUUUGGCAUAGCAAAACUCUUGUUAGGUGAUAAUAACUCAGUGAUUUCUGCAAGCAUGCCUGGAACAAUUGGUUAUAUGGCACCAGGUAGUAACCAUUCAUGACUGAAUUUAUUAUGUAGUACCAUACCUUUUUUUAAAAAAAGUUUGUACUGAUACUUAUUGUUCAAAAUAAUCCUUGACAGAGUAUGGCUCCAUGGGAAAAGCAUCCAGGAAAAGCGAUGUGUUUAGUUUUGGAAUUAUGCUGCUUGAGGUAUUCACCGGGAAGAAGCCCACUGAUACCAUGUUUGUCGGGGAACUGAGCCUUAGGCAGUGGGUUCGUCAAGCAUUUCCAUCAAUGGUUAGCAGUAUUAUUGAUGGUAAUUUACAACAAGAUGAAACAAUACAUGGUUUUCACCAGACAAGCAACCCUUCGGAUGUUUCUCCAAGAAUCUCGUCGGAAAGCACUCUCAGAUCAAUAUUUGAGUUGGGUUUGGUAUGCACAAGUGAAACGCCUGACGAAAGGAUAACUAUGACUGAUGUCGUUGCCAAGUUGAAGAAAAUCAAGGACGAUUUUAUGCAUGAGAGCAGUUCAGCAUGAGGUGGAGAACAAAAUUACUGGUAUUAUUGUUUAAAGAUUCCUAUAAUGUUAUCAAAGUACAAACCCUUGAAAGAUAUUUUGUUAGCAUAUAUUGAAACUAUGUUUACAGUCUUACAGCACCUUUUUUAAACUUUCCCCAACAAAUCGCACUAGCUAAAAUCAUCAAUCACAAAUGAUCUGUGCCGAAUGCUAUGGCAUCUGUUGUAGAACAGAAUAACCUAACUUAAUUGGAUGAGCAAAAAAUAUAACUUAGUCACAAGGCUAUCUCCGACCAGUAGUAUAACCUCCAACUAGCCCGACUUGUGCUGAGGCACCACCAACUGAAGUAAACGCCAACAAAUUGUAACAAUUUGAUUCCACAAGUAAAGCAAGUAACAAUUCGAUUGCGAAAAAUACUGCAAUUAAUAGUAUACCGAGUAAUCACUACCAACAGAAAAAUACAGUACGCUAGUAUCGGUAAAAAUGCUAGUUGAGCUGGGGGAAAGUAGAAAACCUUACUGAUAUUGCCAAAAAUCAAGACGAUGCAACCCGCAGUUGGGCGCCUGGAGGUCAGGUGUGACCCCGUCCUACCGCCACGGGGCGACCGACAGGAGAUCCAGCCAUCCAGGCGAAGGUAAAGCUAGCAGAUCCGCAGGACGAUGACCGCGGCGAACCUAUCAGCAGCGGUAAUCGCGAGCGACCGACAUCACCCGCGACAGGGGGAGAUCGCCGGACAUGGCCGCCCCGCGUGAGCAUUUCGGCCCGGCCCAGAAUGGGUCCGUGAUACUCG
rnacentral:lncRNA from 1 species